CUGCUGGUACCUCUCCGCCUAGGUCCCAAGAGCCUGACUUGUGAUGUUACUAAAAUACCUCACAAGUUAGGGUCUCAGGGACUAGGAAAAGUCUGGUUUGAUGCAG
ensembl:miRNA